rnacentral:rRNA from 1 species
AAUAUUGGACAAUGGGCGCAAGCCUGAUCCAGCCAUGCCGCGUGAGUGAUGAAGGCCCUAGGUUUGUAAAGCCCUUUCACCGGUGAAGAUAAUGGCGGUAACCGGAGAAGAAGCCCCGGCUAACUUCGUGCCAGCAGCCGGGGUAAUACGAAGGGGGCUAGCGUUGUUCGUAAUUACUGGCCGUAAAGCGCACGUAGGCGGAUCGGUCAGUUAGGGGUGAAAUCCCGGGGCUCAACCCCGGAACUGCCUUUAAUGCUGCCGGUCUAGAGUCCGAGAGAGGUGAGUGGAAUUCCGAGUGUAGAGGUGAAAUUCGUAGAUAUUCGGAGGAACACCAGUGGCGAAGGCGGCUCACUGGCUCGGUACUGACGCUGAGGUGCGAAAGCGUGGGGAGCAAAC